rnacentral:rRNA from 1 species
GAUGAACGCUAGCUACAGGCUUAACACAUGCAAGUCGAGGGGAAACGGCAUCGAAAGCUUGCUUUUGAUGGGCGUCGACCGGCGCACGGGUGAGUAACGCGUAUCCAACCUGCCCAUCACUUGGGAAUAACCUUGCGAAAGUAAGACUAAUGCCCAAUGACAUCCCACGAAGGCAUCCGAAUGGGAUUAAAGAUUUAUCGGUGAUGGAUGGGGAUGCGUCUGAUUAGCUUGUUGGCGGGGUGACGGCCCACCAAGGCAACGAUCAGUAGGGGUUCUGAGAGGCAGGUCCCCCACAUUGGAGCUGAGACACGGUCCAAACUCCUACGGGAGGCAGCAGUGAGGAAUAUUGGUCGAUGGGCGAGAGCCUGAACCAGCCAAGUAGCGUGCAGGAUGACGGCCCUAUGGGUUGUAAACUGCUUUUAUAAGGGAAUAAAGUGGGUCACGUGUGACUUUUUGCAUGUACCUUAUGAAUAAGGACCGGCUAAUUCCGUG